UCUCAAAAAUAAGUAAAGACAUUAAAAAAAAAAAAAAAAAAGGGAUCUUUAUGGCAGUCAUCUCCAUGCCCCUCCAGGAUUGUAAUGUAGCUCUUCUGUUCAGUAAGCAUGUGACCUUCUCCACUUAUCCAGUAGAGGGUGGCCAAACACUGCUUAUGAAAGAUUAAGGCCCUCUGAUACCUGUUCCAUGGAGAGACAGCAGAGUUUACCAUCUGUCUGGAUGAGUUCCUACACUUAAAGUGCAUUCCACAGAGGUGGCGGGAUGUGGAAGAAUAAACUUGGUCUGGUAUUCACUCACUUGAACCAGACAUUGCCUAGAAACAGAUCUGACAAGAAAUGUAGCCAGCCAAAUGAGAUAAGGAUUAAUUAAGAGAAAGACUUGGAAGGACAAAUUUAAUCCCACAAGUUCAUGGCCUUCUUUGUGUACCCCUAUGAGAUUUUUACUGCAGUGUAUUUAAUAUUCUAUAGGAGGGACUAUGGGGAGUAUCGACCAGCGAAAUCAAGGGGCCUCAGACGCUGCUGAUUCCCCUAUAAGAAGCUUGGCCUCUUUGGGCCUCUUCUUCCCGAUGUGGAAACGGGAAGAAUGGGAUAAGAAAACCAGUUCUCCAGUGGGCGUGGGGAGGCCAGCACAUGGGAGGAGCAUAUCAAAUCACCCGGGGUUUCACCCAUGUGGUUUUCGUCCUACUUUCCAUAUACGCCGUGAGAGUGGGUGUCUCUCUCUGGCCCUCCUUGACCCCUCCUCAAAUACGAUUGUAGGAAACCCCUUGGUGCUCCGGAGCAAAACGAAGCUUCAGGCCUAGGUGUUGCUAAGAAUUUGUGACUUAACCUUGCUUUUGCUUAGGACUUCAGUCUAUGAUCAACUAGAUCUGCCCUGAGACAAUACCUCGGGACCCCAAUAUUCCCAGAAGGAAAUAGAAUGCAAAUACAGGGCUGGCUUUAAAAUAUGUCCACAGAUUCCUUGACACGCCUCUCAAAUGUAGGAUCCUCUUGAAUGUAGUGAAUUGUCUCUGGUGAACAAAGUAUGGCCGACAUGAUGCUAUGUGACUUGGGAGGCUAAGUCAUAAAGCCUACCUGCUGCUGUCUCAAUAUCGUGCUCCGGGGAAGUCAGUUGGUUAGCAGUCACGUUGUGAGGACAUUUAGGCAGUCUUACAGAGAGGUCUACAUGGAGAGGAACAGAGGCCACCCAUCAGCAGCCAGCAGCUCCUUGCCAGCCAGGUGAGUGAGCCAUCUUGGAAGUGGAUUCUCCAGGCUCAGUCAAGCCUUCAAUGACCAAAGCCCCAGAUGACAUCUGACUGAGCCUCAGGAAAACACCUGAGCCACAACCACCUGGCCAAGCAACUGAAUGGAGGUCACAAAGGUUACUGGACACCAGGACAACCAAAGAGACAGGCACUGCACACGGCCAGUGCGUACAAGAGAGAUCAUUCAGUGUGGCCAGGGAGAUAAAGCAAACAGAAAACCCUGCUGCAGCAAGGCCAAUGAGAGAAAACAAACUACCUAAGACAGAGAUGGAGAAUCCGGGGAAAACGUGGAAAUGGUUGUUUCAUCAUUACAGCUGAGUCCAGGAAAUCCAUGAACGCGUCUCCAGGAAGCAAACUGGGGACAGGCGGCCUGACAGACAAGUGACCAGUGGAAAGCUACCAGAGGAGGCCCAUGACAGCCGCCGGCUGUCCCUUUUGCUACCCCCCCCUCCCCAAGUGCCAUGCUGGCCUCAGGAGCUCUGCAGCUGCCAGAUGUGCACCCCGGGGGGUUCCCCCCCCGCAGUCUUCCAGCCAGACCAUCUGAAUUUCUCUUGGCUUGAACAUCCCUGGGCCACUUGAUAACUAUUAUGCCGGACCUCACUGCCUCCUUGCUUCUGUAGGAAAGGGCUGGCACCUGGGUCAAUGUCUUUGGUAAGAGCGCAUGAAGCUCUCCGUGAGGUCUAACCCUGCCCAGCCCCCAAAACAUCUACUUUGGAGAAGCAGGAACCAAGAUCUACCAAGAUGCUGUGGGGAACACAAGACGUCCCCUCCGCCGCUUCUGUCUCUGGAUUUCUUUGUAUCCCAGCCACGUGGAAGGAAAAUGUCGCCCAUGUGGUCAAUGUCAGGGCUCUAGCCUCUAAGGGAGAGACUACAGCAACUUAGUCUCCAGUUUCAGUUCUUAGAGAACACUCUGAGUGACCCAGUUUGGGUCAGGUGCGGGCCCCUCAACCACACAACAGUGGCCUGGCUGGGCCAGGUGUGGAGGGUGAAAUAUCACCAUGAGUGAACGUGGCUAUUGCUGCUGCCAUGAUAUGUAAAGAGAAGGGCUGAUGAUUCUUAGAAACUCUGUGAGCAAAGAACUCAACAGGUGUUCAUGACCAGGACAGCAUUAAAAGUGGCCCAGCCAGUUGAGUGGCUCAGUUGGUUAAAUGUCUGAAUUCGGUUCAGGUCAUGACCUCAGGGUUUGUGAGCCCUGCAUCAGGCUCUGUGCUGACAGUGUG